rnacentral:rRNA from 1 species
GACGAACGCUGGCGGCAUGCCUAACACAUGCAAGUCGAGCGAGUAGAUCCCUUCGGGGUGAAGCUAGCGGCGGACGGGUGAGUAACACGUGGGCAACCUGCCUCAUAGAGGGGAAUAGCCUUCCGAAAGGAAGAUUAAUACCGCAUAAGAUUGUAGUACCGCAUGGUAUAGCAAUUAAAGGAGCAAUCCGCUAUGAGAUGGGCCCGCGGCGCAUUAGCUAGUUGGUGAGGUAACGGCCCACCAAGGCGACAAUGCGUAGCCGACCUGAGAGGGUGAUCGGCCACAGUGGGACUGAUACACAGCCCAGACUCCUACGGGAGGCAGCAGUGGGGAAUAUUGCACAAUGGGGGAAACCCUGAUGCAGCAAUGCCGCGUGAGUGAUGACGGCCUUCGGGUUGUAAAGCUCUGUCUUCGGGGACGAUAAUGACGGUACCCGAGGAGGAAGCCACGGCUAACUACGUGCCAGCCGCCGCCGUAA